AUGCAGCCCAGGAUGCAAUUGGCCUUCGGGGCUGCAAGUGCACACUGCCAGCUCAUAUCCAAUCUCUCAUCCACCAGUGCCCCCAAGUCCUUCUCCUCGUAUGUGGGCUGCUGGGUGGGAUUAGGCAAGUCCUGUCAUCACGUGCCUCAGCUUCCCCAGUUGUGUGGCUGAAGUUCAACCAUCUGGAUCAGGACAUCAAGACACCUGAAGCAAAAGUGAAGACAGGGAAGGAGAGAAGGAGGAGGAGAAAUGACCAUGCAAAAGCAGAACUUUGCAUGCAUCCAAGUUAAAUAGGAUGCGUCCAAAUAAUUCUUUCAAAUUGCAGUUCCCCCCCAGCACAGGGGCUAAUUUUUUGCUAAAUGGAGACAGUCCCUUUCCAUGGAGGUCAAACAGUCUAUGUGUGACUUUAGCUAGUUGCAAAGAAGGUGACUGACUCCUUUUCCUAAACCAUGAGGUGUGCAGCUUCUCUGGGGGUGACAUGGAGAAAACCGAGACAAGAAGGCAAAGAUCUUUUCCUCCAUCCAUCCAUCCUGGCAGGUUCUUGCUUUCUGGGAAAGCAUCUCAGGUGCAAACUUUUACUAAAAGAAAUGACACCACCCUCUGGGAUUAAACCAAACCAGCUCCUGCUCACUGCUUCCUCCCACAUCAAAGGAUAAAUAUAUGCCACAAAACAUGGAUUUACCCAGGGGUGCAGGAUAUACUCCAUCAUUCAAAGCCUUUCAAUAAAGGGCUUUGUUUCUUUGGAACAAACCUGCUGUCACUGAAAGAUUGGGAUAGGUUUCUCAGAUCUAUGCCAUGCAGAGUAUAGCUUGUAAAUAUGAUCUGUAGUUUCUAAAUCGGAAGUCCUUCAGUCAGAGAAGGUGAAGGAGUUAAAGUUUAUUCUCAUGUCAUCAUUAGUUUCCAGGGUUAUUGCUGCUUAGUGGCAAUGUAGGAGGGGCCUGUGUUCCUGGAUUACCCAUUUCUCACACGUAAGGAUGAUUUGAAGGAUUGGUUUUUUUUAUAUUUGGAGUUGGGUUUCUUAUUUCCUUGGUUUAUGACAAGGAUACUGAAAAUGUCAAAACUGGUUUUUCCACAGAGUUUCUUCUGUUUCAGGGGAAUAGGUAUUGAUGGCUCUUCAACUUGCAUUUGAAUGGGUAGGCUUAUCAGGUUGAACACAAACUUCCUUCCUCUGCAAUGUUAACUUUGAUGUCUAAUUAUCUUUUAAAUAACUGCUUCCCAGAUUACAAGCUUUCCCUUAGCUGCUCUGUAAUGCAGUCCUCAGGUGCUAAAUCCAUAUGUAGACACCUCACUAAGCGGCCUAAUUUUUAGAAGUGCUAAGACCUCUAGCACCUGCCUUGUCUGAAACACAGUGGUUUCCUAAUUUAGAACAGUCGUAAACUGUCCUAAAUUAAAGCAGGAAUUGAAUUAGCCCUGGCUAGUUUGGGGCUUACAGAGGUGGGAGGAAAGUGGUGAGGGAGCAGAAUUGGAGCUACCUUGUACAAAGAAGUGCCCUGGGGCUUGUUUAACACUAGGGGAGAAAAAAAUAAGACUGCAGCCCUGCAGGAUUACAUUCCCUGUUUAUCCCUGGGGGUAGGGGAAACACAGGGUGCUUCUCUUCCCACCUGCCCCCAUUGUUAAUGCUGGAAGAAAUGCCGUGAGACAAAGCAGGAUGUUUGAUACAGCCAUGUCCCCUUGGCAUCCCCAGACAAGCCAGUGGCUGUUCUGCCAAAGGGCAGUUGCCUUAAUACUGUACUGGGGAUGGUGGCUCUAGGCUGGCUCUCAUUUAUUUCAAACUACCCACCAGAACUGACUUCCAGGUGCCACUGGCCUGGCUGAAGCUAGGAGUAGUGUGAAAGCCAAAUCCCCUGUUCUUUAGCCCCACUCCCUCAGCCGUAAGGAAGAGUUUACCAUGGACAUUGCCCAGGUGCAGCCUGUGGCUGUGGGGAGGACGUGUUCCCCUCAGGACGUGCCAGAGCCCCCUGAUCCUCAGCUGCCAGCUUGCCCGGAUCCGUCCCAUCCAUUUCUGAUCCCAGGCGAAAUUCCCACUGCUGCCGCCAUCAAAUGCAAAGGCUCCUCGUUGGAGCCACAAAACCUCCAGCUGUUUGAUAUUGUGCGGAGCAAGGCAGGGGGCAUGGAGGGACUCCGCAUGAAAGGGCGAGCUCAAAGGAAACCGGACCCUGGCAUGUCGGCAUGAUACUCAGAUCCUGCUUUCCUUUCUUAGAACUUAGACAACAACUCUUCUACAGUAUAAAACUUCUCAUGCAGUGAAAGCCAAGGCAACCACAUUUGCGAUCAUGACCACACACCUCACUGCCAGUGCUGGAUGAUGGAAGUCCUAAGACUGAAUAUAAGAGCAGCAUGAACCUGUUGUGUGCAAGAAGAGCGCCUCUAAAGACUUUUGCCAACCAAAAGCCAGGCCCCAGACCCCUGCCUCCUGCUGGCAGCGUGCUGACUUCUGCUCAGGACAGCCUUCCCAUGGGUCAGUGACUGGGCUCCCUGCAGGGGAAGCAUGACACUGGUAUAAAACACAGCACAGCUUGGCCAGUUUAGUUCCUGCUACCACCAUUAUAAUCACUGCAAAAAUAAAUACAUCUCUCUACUGAUGA